GAGAGAGUUCUUCUGUCCAGGUUUGUCCUUUAUAUUGAGAGGUUAUAAUGUGAACCGCAUGUUCUCUUUGUAAACCUAUUUUUUUUUCUUCUUCUAACCUCCCCCCUUAAUAGCUUAUCUCCCUUAAUACAACAUCUGGAGUAACACAGCGAGUAAUGGGAGCCCUUGUGUCUGACCCUGUAGCGAUGCGGGGGGUUUGGGCCUGCUCCCCGGAAUCCGGAGCUGACUCACAGCCGGCUGCUGCAUCUGUGCGCCUCUGUUCCCAGCCAAGAUGGAGGAAUCCAUCCAGUUUGGCUGGAUGCCCUACACAACAGAGCUGAUGAGCCAAACAGCUGUUUCUCUGCUAGCUCUAUGUUCGGAGAGCCGUCUCACUGCGGUUUUACAUGCACAAAAGCAGUGUGGAG